rnacentral:rRNA from 1 species
ACUCCUACGGGAGGCAGCAGUGGGGAAUAUUGCACAAUGGGGGAAACCCUGAUGCAGCCAUGCCGCGUGUGUGAAGAAGGCCUUCGGGUUGUAAAGCACUUUCAGUAGGGAGGAAGGUAGUGUAGUUAAACACCUGCACUUAAUUUGACGUUACCUACAGAAGAAGCACCGGCUAACUCCGUGCCAGCAGCCGCGGUAAUACGGAGGGUGCGAGCGUUAAUCGGAAUUACUGGGCGUAAAGCGCAUGCAGGCGGCCUGUUAAGUCAGAUUGUGAAAGCCCGGGGCUUAACCUCGGAAUUGCAAUUUGAAACUGGUAGGCUAGAGUCUUGUAGAGGGGGUAGAAUUUCAGUGUAGCGGUGAAAUGCGUAGAGAUCUGAAGGAAUACCAGUGGCGAAGGCGGCCCCCUGGACAAAGACUGACGCUCAGAUGCGAAAGCCGUGGGGAGCAAACAGGAUUUAGAUACCCCUGGUAGGACAU